rnacentral:rRNA from 1 species
UACGUAGGUGGCGAGCGUUGUCCGGAUUUACUGGGCGUAAAGAGCGCGCAGGCGGCUGGUCAAGUCCGAUGUGAAAGCUCCCGGCUUAACUGGGAAAUUGCAUCGGAAACUGAUCGGCUGGAAGGUGGGAGAGGGUAGCGGAAUUCCCGGUGUAGUGGUGAAAUGCGUAGAUAUCGGGAGGAACACCAGUGGCGAAAGCGGCUACCUGGCCCAUUCUUGACGCUGAGGCGCGAAAGCUAGGGGAGCAAACGGGG